rnacentral:rRNA from 1 species
ACGUAGGAGGCUAGCGUUAUCCGGAUUUAUUGGGCGUAAAGCGCGUGCAGGCGGUCUAUCAAGUUGGAUGUGAAAGCUCCUGGCUUAACUGGGAGAGGUCGUUCAAAACUGAUAGUCUCGAGAAUGGUAGAGGGAGGUGGAAUUCCGGGUGUAGUGGUGACCUGGGUAUGUAUCCGGAGGAACACCAGUGGCGAAAGCGAGCUCCUGUGCCAUUUCUCACGCUAAGACGGGCAAGCUAGGGUAGCAAACGG